GACGUAGGGCGCGAGCGUUGUCCGGAUUGAUUGGGCGUAAAGAGCUCGUAGGCGGCUCGUUGCGUCGGCUGUGAAAACCCGCAGCUCAACUGUGGGCCUGCAGCCGAUACGGGCGGGCUGGAGUUCGGUAGGGGAGACUGGAAUUCCUGGUGUAGCGGUGAAAUGCGCAGAUAUCAGGAGGAACGCCGGUGGCGAAGGCGGAUCUCUGGGCCUUACCUGACGCUCAGGUGCGAAAGCUAGGGGAGCGAACAGG
rnacentral:rRNA from 1 species